GCCAGACUCCUACGGGAGGCAGCAGUGAGGAAUAUUGGUCAAUGGGCGGGAGCCUGAACCAGCCAAGUCGCGUGAGGGAAGACGGUCCUAUGGAUUGUAAACCUCUUUAGGCGGGGAGCAAUGCCGGGCACGCGUGCCCGGAGGGAGAGUACCCGUAGAACAAGCAUCGGCUAACUCCGUGCCAGCAGCCGCGGUAAUACGGAGGAUGCGAGCGUUAUCCGGAUUUAUUGGGUUUAAAGGGUGCGCAGGCGGCCCGGCAAGCCGGCGGUCAAAGCGCGGGGCCCAACCCCGCCCAGCCGUCGGAACUGCCGGGCUAGAGUGGGCGAGAAGUGCGCGGAAUGCGUGGUGUAGCGGUGAAAUGCAUAGAUAUCACGCAGAACCCCGAUUGCGAAGGCAGACUUCCGGCGCCCUACUGACGCUGAGGCACGAAAGUGCGGGGAUCGAACAGGAUUAGAGACCCCAGUAGAU
rnacentral:rRNA from 1 species